rnacentral:rRNA from 1 species
GACGAACGCUGGCGGCGUGCUUAACACAUGCAAGUCGAACGGAAAGGCCCUGCUUUUGUGGGGUGCUCGAGUGGCGAACGGGUGAGUAACACGUGAGUAACCUGCCCUUGACUUUGGGAUAACUUCAGGAAACUGGGGCUAAUACCGGAUAGGAGCUCCUGCUGCAUGGUGGGGGUUGGAGAGUUUCGGCGGUUGGGGAUGGACUCGCGGCUUAUCGGCUUGUUGGUGGGGUAGGUGCUUUCCAAGGCUUUGACGGGUAGCCGGCCUGGGAGGUGGACCGGCCACAUUGGGCCUGAGAUAGGGCGCAGAAGCCUACGGGAGGCAGCAGUGGGGAAUAUUGCACAAUGGGCGGAAGCCUGAUGCAGCAACGCCGCGUGCGGGAUGACGGCUUUCGGGGUGUAAACCGCUUUCGCCUGUGACGAAGCGUGAGUGACGGUAAUGGGUAAAGAAGCACCGGCUAACUACGUG